rnacentral:tRNA from 1 species
GGGGGUAUAGUUUAGUGGUAGAGCACAUGCUUAUAAGCAUGCCCAAGGUCCUGGGUUCAACCACUAGUACUGCCG